rnacentral:siRNA from 1 species
GACCGUUGCUCAUCUUACAUGGGA